GGUAGGGCUAAUGGAGGCCUCUGGAAGGGCUCACGCCAAUGAGCACUUCCCAGAACCCCUGCCACCAGUGCCUCUGUCUACUUGGUGAGCCACAGCUGCCUCCCACCUCUGCAGGCAACCUCCAAUACCAGCAGUUCCCUCCAAGGCUCUCAUCAAAGUCACGGAAAGACACAUCAUCAAUUAAGCUAAACUCUGAUUACCAGCCAUUUCUGGGCCAGGAAGCAGGUGCUGUACCUGUCCAGAGGUGAUAUUCAAAACACUGAACAACCAACAGUCCAUCACCCCGGUCUGGUAAGCACAGACAUUGGAGUAAGUGCUGAUGUGGCAACACAGUCUGUUCCCAAGCUGAAUAUCAGCCCUGAUCUCAUUACCCCU